AGUGGCUCCCAAAGAUCCACCACUAAUGAAGAAAGUCAAAGAACGAAUAGACAAAAACAUGGACAAACGAAUCCCCAUUACAAAUCUGGUUAAAGCCUCCGCAGUGUUUGAUCCAGCUGUCAGAGAUAUCACUAUGACGAAGGAUGAAAGCAGAGAACUGCUGCAGAAUCUUCAUGAGUAACUGAACUCCUCCAGAUUCAGCUCAACAGUCUUAGGGGUUGGAGAUGAGAGGACAACUACUGAUGGUGGUCCUUCUGGUGGGAACGGUGACCACCAGUCUCAAGACGAUGGAGAUGUGGGAACAAGUGCGAAACGCCUGCGACUAGAAUUAUCAGCAGAGGCACAAGAAGAUUCAGCAGCUCAUUCUUCAUAUUCUAUGUCAUCAGGAGUGACAUGUACUUGCAGGAUAUCUUCAGUCACAAUAUAGUCCACUAUAUGUGGUGCAAGGAAUGCUGGUGGUUCACCACCUUGGACUAUUAUGGUAGACAUCAUCUUUCCAAUGGUUCUGUACACUCCAUUUUGCACAUGAGAUAUGUUCAGCUUUGGAGUAAACCCAUUGGGAGACUCUGAGGAAAAGAAAACAAAUAUAACAGCAUUGUUGUAUGAUUACACCAGGGGGGUAUACAGCAAAGUCAGCUCGCCAGGUCAACUGGCAUGCAUGCCACCUUACAAACAUUUCAAAAACUGUUUAAGUUCAUGAGCCUAUCC
ensembl:lncRNA